GGGGUUGUAGCUCAGUGGUGGAGCGCUCACUUAGCAUGUGUGAGACACUGGGUUCGAUUCACAGCACCG
rnacentral:tRNA from 1 species